CUGGCUCAGGACGGACGCUGGCGGCGUGCUUCAUACAUGCAAGUCGAACGAGAAGCUGACUUCGGUCAGUGGAAAGUGGCGGACGGGUGAGUAAUAUGUAGAGAAUCUGCCCUUGAGUGGGGGACAACAGAGGGAAACUUCUGCUAAUACCCCAUAUGAGCUAACUUGAAAUAGUUAUCUUGAAAACUCCGGUGCUCAAGGAUGAGUCUGCAUCUGAUUAGCUAGUUGGCGGUGUAAUGGACCACCAAGGCGACGAUCAGUAGCUGGUUUGAGAGGAUGAUCAGCCACAAUGGGACUGAGACACGGCCCAUACUCCUACGGGAGGCAGCAGUAGGGAAUUUUGCGCAAUGGGCGAAAGCCUGAACCGCAGCAACGCCGCGUGAACGAUUAAGCCCUUCGGGGUGUAAAGUUCUGUCAGUAGGGACGAAUUUUGACGGUACCUACAGAGGAAGCACCGGCUAACUCCGUGCCAGCAGCUGC
rnacentral:rRNA from 1 species